rnacentral:rRNA from 1 species
UGUAGCAAUACAUGGGCGGCGACCGGCAAACGGGUGCGGAACACGUACGCAACCUUCCUUUAAGUGGUGAAUAGCUUUCGGAAACGAAAAUUAAUACACCGUAACAUUAUGAAGUGGCAUCAUUUUAUAAUUAUAGCUCCGGCGCUUAAAGAUGGGCGUGCGUCUGAUUAGGUAGUUGGCGGGGUAACGGCCCACCAAGCCUGCGAUCAGUAACUGGUGUGAGAGCACGACCAGUCACACGGGCACUGAGACACGGGCCCGACUCCUACGGGAGGCAGCAGUAAGGAAUAUUGGUCAAUGGACGCAAGUCUGAACCAGCCAUGCCGCGUGGAGGAUGAAGGUCCUCUGGAUUGUAAACUUCUUUUAUUUGGGAAGAAACCCACGAUUUCUAUUGUGGUUGACGGUACCAGAUGAAUAAGCACCGGCUAACUCCGUGCCAGCAGCCGCGGUAAUACGGAGGGUGCAAGCGUUAUCCGGAUUCACUGGGUUUAAAGGGUGCGUAGGCGGGCAGGUAAGUCAGUGGUGAAAUCUCCGGGCUUAACCCGGAAACUGCCGUUGAUACUAUCCGUCUUGAAUAUCGUGGAGGUGAGCGGAAUAUGUCAUGUAGCGGUGAAAUGCUUAGAUAUGACAUAGAACACCCAUUGCGAAGGCAGCUCGCUACACGGUUAUUGACGCUGAGGCACGAAAGCGUGGGGAUCAAACAGGAUUAGAUACCCUGGUAGUCCACGCCCUAAACGAUGAUUACUCGACAUCAGCGAUACACUGUUGGUGUCUGAGCGAAAGCAUUAAGUAAUCCACCUGGGAAGUACGA